GGGGCUGAUAUGGAUUAGACAGCAGGUCGAGUUGGAGUGUAAGCAUGCCGAGCGUUGUGGAAGUGGCUCGAUAAUCCCAAGUCACACGCCAAUUAAAUGGCAACAAUUCAAACUACGCACUUGCAGCUUAAUCGGAAAGAUUAGGUUCGUGCUGUUUCCCGGAGAAACUCCGCCCGAUGGUGUCUCCGAUGAAACAUCGCCAAAUGUCGGGAUAAGCGCUGUAAUACCUCGGUGCAGCGAUGAAAACCUUAGAGGGGUAGGUGCAAGAUUGGGUGGCCUUUUCCCUGUUGAGUACCGAAUUUUCAAUAAAAGGAUAAGCAUGUAGAAAGCAUUUUAGCUGCCUGUUUGGACGAGGGUUCAAAUCCCUCCAGCUCCACAA
rnacentral:tmRNA from 1 species